AUUUACCUUACAUUACCUCUUCAGUUUCAUUUCAUUCAACAUUAAUUAAACAGUAUCAUUUGGCUUUCCGAUAUAUACUAGAUACUGUUUCAGGCUCUAGAUUUACAGCAAUAAGAAAUACAAUAAACUCAUGGAACUUACAUUCUAGUGUGAAAGAAUAGACAAUAAAAGACAGUAAACAAAAGAAUGUUUGAUGGUGAUAAGGAAUAGAAAGAGAGCAAACCACACAGAAAGAUGAUGGACAGAGAGGUGGUGAUUACUGAUCUUUCUCCAGAGGUGACGUUUAAUCUGAACCCUAACUUACCACAGGGGCCCAGGAGCCAUCGGAAGACCUGAGGCAAAAGCUUUCAGCAGAGGGAACCACAGAACAGAGCCUGAGAAGGUGACCAUGUGAAGACAGAGACAGAACGUGAGGAUGCCAGAUGAGGACAAAGACAAAUCGGAGUUAUGCAGCUACAAGCCAAGGAAUGCCAAAGACUGCCAGCAAACCGUCAGAAGCUAGGAAGAGGCAUGCAUGGACUUUCCUACAGGUUUUCAAGGGAACAUGGCCCUGUGGACACCUUGACUUUGGAUUUAUAACUUUCAGAACUCUAAGUCAUUAAAUAUCUGUUGUUUUAAGCCACCCAA